GAUGAACGCUAGCGGCAGGCCUAAUACAUGCAAGUCGGACGGGAUUCAGGAGCUUGCUUCUGAUGAGAGUGGCGCACGGGUGCGUAACACGUAUGUAACCUACCUUUAUCAGGGGGAUAGCCUCUCGAAAGAGAGAUUAAGCCCGCAUAAAAUCACAGCACAGCAUUGUGUACUGAUCAAAUAUUUAUAGGAUAAAGAUGGGCAUGCGGAACAUUAGCUAGAUGGCGGGGUAACGGCCCACCAUGGCGACGAUGUUUAGGGGAUCUGAGAGGAUGGCCCCCCACACUGGUACUGAGACACGGACCAGACUCCUACGGGAGGCAGCAGUAAGGAAUAUUGGUCAAUGGGCGGAAGCCUGAACCAGCCAUGCCGCGUGCAGGAAGACGGCCCUACGGGUUGUAAACUGCUUUUAUACGGGAAUAAACCCAGAUACGUGUAUCUGGCUGAAUGUACUGUAAGAAUAAGGAUCGGCUAACUCCGUG
rnacentral:rRNA from 1 species